CUUUACGGCCAAGGUGAAACGAAGAGAGAGACCUGAUACUACACUUUGGUCGAAGCAUGUCGCAUCUAUUCUGGUAUAUGCAGACAGCUACGAAGAAGCCAGGUGCAAACCAAAUCAAGCAACCCUGACUUCAAACUUGGAGAGUGACGAUGAAGAUCAUAUUCAUAGAA